AGAAAAAAAAAAAAAAAAAAAAAAAAAACAACUAUAUUUUUUGUUGUUUGCGCCUUUCUUUUUUGAUUUUGCUGCAGCAAAAUGGAUAUUCAGCACCAUCUACCUCUCAACAGCUAUAAAGGGAAGUAGUUGAGAAAAGACCACUUUCCAAUUUUCCUACAUCCCUUGGGAAGAAAGGACAUGACACUUGGGUUCAGAUUUUUUAAGGCCCAAGUGUUGACUAGUCUUCCCUCCUCUAGCCAAAGCCCAUAGGUAGUAAACAAAUUCAGUCAACUGGUUUCUUACAAGCCUUCCUUAAGCAUUUCAUGAAGGAUGCUUUUUGGAUUAACGGCUAAUAUUGACUUCAGUUCCCAAAGGAAAUUGAACAUUUCCAUGUACUUCCCAAAGGGUAAAUGAAGAAACCCAUGUUGAAAAAGUUAAAUCUGCAUUUCUGAGAAAUAACCAUAGUUUGUGUGGGAGGUGUCCUUGGCCUUCACUCUCAUGCUCCUUGAGGCGACAAUGUCAGUGCCAUAGCUGAAGGGUAAAUGGUGUGUGAAUGAGGUGCCCUCAGCAGCAACUUUAGACAAGGCUGACAGCGAAAGACAAGCAAAAAUAAAAUCAAGGUAAAAUACUGCCAAUGCUUCUAUUGCUAUUUGUAUCAUGUUACCCUUAAUGAUUUGUAAUUUUACAUUUAAAGUUAUUAUCUUUUGGCAGGCACCUUGACUUUAAGUGUCUGUUACACCAAAGGUUAUGGCAAACUGUGUCUGCAGCCCACAGUAAAAUCCAGUUUAAGGCUCUCCACACUGGAGUGCAGCUAUCCAGGUAGGUAGUGCCACCAGCCUAAGGUCACACCUUCUUCCUUGGCGUGAGGUUGCCCUACGUUGGCACUUAUCAUGGUCACUGCUUUGGUGACUGUCAUUCUGCCCAGGGCUUUAAGUGACCACCUUCCACAGACUCCCCCAUUUCAUACUACAGAGAAAGCAUCUUGUGUCUUACCUUCCCUCCCUUAGUGUGCUAGGACUGCCUGGUGAGUGGCACUAAAGGAUCAUCCCUUGGUUCCUGAUAUCUAGGAACCCACAUAUGCUUAAAAACAGCAAGAUAACUCCCCAGAUUGAAUCUCUGCAGGCUGAAAAGUUGGAUGGAUUCCAACUAGAGCACCAUUUCCCUAAUCCCACACACUUUUAAGGGACUAGAGACUGAGGAAUGUUCAGGGAUUAUCACAGAAUAUUCUGGUCCUUUUGUUGGAGCCUGAAAGCUCUUUAGAGCAAUUGAGUACACAGAAAUUCAGCCAGAAUGGGAGCACAAGCAGAAGCAGACCAAGCUAUUUCUCCCCUGAACACACACUCUGCACACUGACAGGUACAAAUAUAGCUAAAAGAAAUGACGAUUACAUAAGUUCCUAGCCAGUGUCCAGCACAUAGUAAGUCUAUCAGUUAGCUCUUCCUGUUUAACAAAUCUUCCCUAAACUUAGUGGCUCAAAACAACCACCCUUUAGCUUACGAUUCUGCAGUCUGGCAUAUUUCUGCCAGCUUGCCCAUGCUCAGAGGCCAGCUGCCUGGUGGGCUAGGGCCUGGCUGGACUAGGACAGCCUCAGCUGGGGCAGCUUCUCUGUGUUUCUCAUUCUCCAGCAGGCUAGCUUGGGCUUGUUCACACAAGUUUCCAGAGAGAGAAGUAGGCAAGAGCUUCAGAACCGUACAAACAAGGUCCGCUGCAUUCUACUGGCCACAGUGAGUCCCUAGGGCAGCCCCAGUCGAAGGAGCAGAGAGGUAGUCUGUUCCUCUUGAUGGAAGAGAGGCACAGAGUCAUUUAGCUUAGGGGUAAACAUAUAGACGCAGUGAAGGAUUGUGGCCACUUUUACAAUCUACCACUGUAGCUACCAAUAAGUUCUGUGUUUACAGUUUUUCAGCCAUUUCCAAAAGGAAUUAUAUUGAUGUGUUAGUUGACAAGCCUACAAUGAAAAGAUAGAUGGGAAAAGAAGACCAUCAGACAGGUGGCUGGAUAUGUGGAGACAAGCACGAAGAAGUCCAGGCUCUGUCACGACGUUGCUGACUGGCUUCUGUCACAUUUUCAGGCAUCUUUUAGCUAGAGGUGCGCGUGUGACACCACAUGGACUGUGAGAAAUAGUCAAGUUCAGCCUAGUGACGCUUCUGGCAAAGCUUGUUUUCCUGAUUUUUAAAAAAGGAGUUGGGGGAGUGCCAUGCCUUUUGUCCUUCCUCCCUCCUCCUGCCUGGAACAUGGAUGUGAGACCAGGAAGUACAGCAGCCAUCUUGUGACCAUGAGGACUAAAGGCCUGCGCUGAGGAUGGUACAGUAAAAUGAAAGAAGCAGCCUGGAUGCCUGAUGAGCAGCUGUGCCAGCCCCAGGGUCAUGCAAAUCAGUGUCAAUCAUUGUGGUUCUGGUUUUCUCCUAUUUGUAGCCAAAUAAAUUCCUUACUGAUAUAGGCAGGGUCCUUGUUGGUUCCAAAAAAAAGUGGAUUCACAGAAAUAUAACUGAGAGAACCAUGAAUUUCUAAAGAAGUCCUAGAAAUAGAUCAGUCAGAGAAGUUGUCCAUUUCAGGCAGGGGUUUCUACUGUAAGUUGCUUGGAUGGAAAAUAAAUCAGUGUUAAGGAGGUGAGAAUGCCAUCACUUGAAUUGUAUGACUAUAUCUUAUUAAAUCUCAGAUGCCAUCAGUUGUAAGGUAUAGCAUUAUUUUACAUAUCACUAUGAGAGAAGAAAAUGCUCUCAAGACAUAUCACUGAUUGUAAGAUGCAUCCACCUUGAUUUCAGAGAUUUUAAAAUGUGAAAAAAGGGAGGGACAUCUUAGGAUCAGUGAAAUAUGGCACAUAUUUAUUUGCUUCCUUGAUUCCUGCCUGCUGUGCUCAUUAGACCAGAGACACUGUCUGCCAUGCUCUCUGCCAAGUCCUCCAUACCUAGAAUUGGGCCUGGCAUAGAGUGGGGUCUAUAAAUAUUGGUUAAUUAAUAAGUUAACUAAUAAGUUCUAGUCCUUGCUUUUCCAAUAACUUCCCAUGCUACCCUGGCUGGAGAAAGCAUUUCCCUUUCUCUGUACCUCAUUUCUCCAUAAUCUAGUUCAACUGACCCUCACCAGAACUGAAGAAACAAAAAGCCCCAAAUACAUGCAAAGCGGACCUACACUCUGCAUCACCAUGGUGACGCCUCCCAGGGUCCCAGAGGGCAGGGAGGCCUCAUCUUCCACCAUCCCUAGAAAUCUCUCUUUCCCCAGAGCCCAACUCCUUCUAAAGCUCUGUGGUUAACCCUUUCCAGGCAAGCCUUUUCCAACACUCUGUUAGGGUUACUAAAUGUGCUCCCUACAAAUGGACUAGGGCCAAGGAAUUAUGCAAGAUCCUUCAAGCAAAGAGAUGGUAUUUUGUAACUUCCCUGAGUUUCUCCAGGAAGAUGAAAUGCACAACAUAUUUUAGAAUAAUAUCAACCUACAUAUGUCAGAGAGGUAGUCUUGUCUGACCAAAGCCCUUGAGCUGGUGAGGGGCGGGGUUCCAGGUGCCCCUUCUGCUGCACUAGCAUUGUAUUCAGAAGUAAUAAAGAUGAUGGCUUUCAUGUAAUGAGUGACGAACCCUUUGCAUAUAUUCCUUCAUUGAGUCUUCAACAGAAACUUAUGGGGUAGGAAGUAUCUUUAUCCCCAUUUUACAAGUGGGGAAACUGAGGCAUAUAGCUGUUAAGUAGGUGGCAGAGCCUGGCCUCGAAGUCAGGUGGGGUAGCACCAGAGUUUAUGCUCUUAACCACUAUGCUCUA
rnacentral:lncRNA from 1 species